rnacentral:rRNA from 1 species
AUUGAACGCUGGCGGCAGGCUUAACACAUGCAAGUCGAACGAGUGGCGGACGGGUGAGUAAUGCUUGGGAAUCUGGCUUAUGGAGGGGGAUAACGACGGGAAACUGUCGCUAAUACAGAGUACCAUAGGAUGAGCCCAAGGGGGAUUAGGUAGUUGGGGGGGUAAUGGCAGACCAAGCCGACGAUCUCUAGCUGGUCUGAGCGGAUGACCAGCCACACCGGGACGCAGACACGGCCCGGACUCCUACGUGAGGCAGCAGUGGGGAAUCUUGCGAAUUGGGGGCAACCUGACGCACCCGUGCCGCGUGAAUGAAGAAGGCCUUCGGUUUGUAAAGUUCUUUCGGUGACUCGGCGUUAAUCACAGAAGAAGCACCGGCUAACUCCGUGCCAGCAGCCGCGGUAAUAC